AUCGCUUCUCGGCCUUUUGGCUAAGAUCAAGUGUUGAAUGAUGACUUAUAUCUAACAUGAUCUGAUCUAUUACUAAUACAUUCAUGUGAGGAUUUUUUCAUACAUGUAUUAUCAUGUAAUCUUGAUAAGAACAAAAGAUGAUGGUUUGAGAAUGACUA
ensembl:snRNA LOC120102116 U2 spliceosomal RNA